rnacentral:rRNA from 1 species
AUUGAACGCUGGCGGCAUGCCUUACACAUGCAAGUCGAACGGUAACAGGUCUUCGGAUGCUGACGAGUGGCGAACGGGUGAGUAAUACAUCGGAACGUGCCCGAGAGUGGGGGAUAACGAGGCGAAAGCUUUGCUAAUACCGCAUACGAUCUCAGGAUGAAAGCAGGGGACCGCAAGGCCUUGCGCUCACGGAGCGGCCGAUGGCAGAUUAGGUAGUUGGUGGGAUAAAAGCUUACCAAGCCGACGAUCUGUAGCUGGUCUGAGAGGACGACCAGCCACACUGGGACUGAGACACGGCCCAGACUCCUACGGGAGGCAACAGUGGGGAAUUUUGGACCAUGGGCGCAAGGCUGAUCCAGCCAUGCCGCGUGCAGGAUGAAGGCCUUCGGGUUGUAAACUGCUUUUGUACGGAACGAAAAGACUCUGGUUAAUACCUGGGGUCCAUGACGGUACCGUAAGAAUAAGCACCGGCUAACUACGUGCCAGCCGCCGCGGUAACAC